GGUUAAGUGAAUAAGGGCGCACGGUGGAUGCCUUGGCACUAGGAGCCGAUGAAGGACGGGACUAACACCGAUAUGCUUUGGGGAGCUGUACGUAAGCUAUGAUCCAGAGAUUUCCGAAUGGGGGAACCCAGCAUCUUUAAUAGGAUGUUACGAUUGUGUGAAUACAUAGCACAUUCGAGGUAGACGCAGAGAACUGAAACAUCUAAGUACCUGCAGGAAGAGAAAGAAAAUUCGAUUCCCUGAGUAGCGGCGAGCGAAACGGGAAAAGCCCAAACCAACAAGCUUGCUUGUUGGGGUUGUAGGACUCCAAUAUGGUCGUUCUUUCAGAUAGUCGAAUGACUUGGAAAAGUCAGUCAAAGAGGGUAAAAACCCCGUAGACGAAAUGUGGAAGACACCUAGGAGGAUCCUGAGUACGGCGGAACACGAGAAAUUCCGUCGGAAUCCGGGAGGACCAUCUCCCAAGGCUAAAUACUCCCUAGUGACCGAUAGUGAACCAGUACCGUGAGGGAAAGGUGAAAAGCACCCCGGAAGGGGAGUGAAAUAGAACCUGAAACCGUGUGCCUACAACAAGUCAAAGCCCGUUAAUGGGUGAUGGCGUGCCUUUUGUAGAAUGAACCGGCGAGUUACGAUUGCAUGCGAGGUUAAGUUGAAGAGACGGAGCCGCAGCGAAAGCGAGUCUGAAUAGGGCGUUUGAGUAUGUAGUCGUAGACCCGAAACCAUGUGAUCUACCCAUGUCCAGGUUGAAGGUGCGGUAAAACGCACUGGAGGACCGAACCCACGUACGUUGAAAAGUGCGGGGAUGAGGUGUGGGUAGCGGAGAAAUUCCAAACGAACUUGGAGAUAGCUGGUUCUCUCCGAAAUAGCUUUAGGGCUAGCCUCGGAAUUGAGAAUGAUGGAGGUAGAGCACUGUUUGGACUAGGGGCCCAUCUCGGGUUACCGAAUUCAGAUAAACUCCGAAUGCCAUUCAUU
rnacentral:rRNA from 1 species